GCUUAACACAUGCAAGUCGAGGGGCAGCAUGGUCUUAGCUUGCUAAGGCCGAUGGCGACCGGCGCACGGGUGAGUAACACGUAUCCAACCUGCCGUCUACUCUUGGACAGCCUUCUGAAAGGAAGAUUAAUACAAGAUGGCAUCAUGAGUCCGCAUGUUCACAUGAUUAAAGGUAUUCCGGUAGACGAUGGGGAUGCGUUCCAUUAGAUAGUAGGCGGGGUAACGGCCCACCUAGUCUUCGAUGGAUAGGGGUUCUGAGAGGAAGGUCCCCCACAUUGGAACUGAGACACGGUCCAAACUCCUACGGGAGGCAGCAGUGAGGAAUAUUGGUCAAUGGGCGAGAGCCUGAACCAGCCAAGUAGCGUGAAGGAUGACUGCCCUAUGGGUUGUAAACUUCUUUUAUAAAGGAAUAAAGUCGGGUAUGGAUACCCGUUUGCAUGUACUUUAUGAAUAAGGAUCGGCUAACUCCGUGCCAGCAGCCGCGGUAAUACGGAGGAUCCGAGCGUUAUCCGGAUUUAUUGGGUUUAAAGGGAGCGUAGAUGGAUGUUUAAGUCAGUUGUGAAAGUUUGCGGCUCAACCGUAAAAUUGCAGUUGAUACUGGAUAUCUUGAGUGCAGUUGAGGCAGGCGGAAUUCGUGGUGUAGCGGUGAAAUGCUUAGAUAUCACGAGGAACUCCGAUUGCGAAGGCAGCCUGCUAAGCUGCAACUGACAUUGAGGCUCGAAAGUGUGGGUAUCAAACAGGAUUAGAUACCCUGGUAGUCCACACGGUAAACGAUGAAUACUCGCUGUUUGCGAUAUACAGCAAGCGGCCAAGCGAAAGCGUUAAGUAUUCCACCUGGGGAGUACGCCGGCAACGGUGAAACUCAAAGGAAUUGACGGGGGCCCGCACAAGCGGAGGAACAUGUGGUUUAAUUCGAUGAUACGCGAGGAACCUUACCCGGGCUUAAAUUGCAGAUGAAUUACGGUGAAAGCCGUAAGCCGCAAGGCAUCUGUGAAGGUGCUGCAUGGUUGUCGUCAGCUCGUGCCGUGAGGUGUCGGCUUAAGUGCCAUAACGAGCGCAACCCUUGUUGUCAGUUACUAACAGGUUCCGCUGAGGACUCUGACAAGACUGCCAUCGUAAGAUGUGAGGAAGGUGGGGAUGACGUCAAAUCAGCACGGCCCUUACGUCCGGGGCUACACACGUGUUACAAUGGGGGGUACAGAGGGCCGCUACCACGCGAGUGGAUGCCAAUCCCCAAAACCUCUCUCAGUUCGGACUGGAGUCUGCAACCCGACUCCACGAAGCUGGAUUCGCUAGUAAUCGCGCAUCAGCCACGGCGCGGUGAAUACGUUCCCGGGCCUUGUACACACCGCCCGUCAAGCCAUGGGAGCCGGGGGUACCUGAAGUGCGUAACCGCGAGGAGCGCCCUAGGGUAAAACUGGUGACUGGGGCUAAGU
rnacentral:rRNA from 1 species